GAUGAACGCUAGCGGCAGGCCUAAUACAUGCAAGACGAACGGUAAGUUGAGUAGCAAUACUUAGCCAAGAGUGUCGUACGGGUGCGUAACACGUAUGCAACCUACCCUAUACAGGAGGAUAGCCUAGGGAAACCUGGAUUAACCCUUCAUAGUAUUAUUGGAUGGCAUCAUUUGAUAAUUAAAACUGAGGUGGUAUAGGAUGGGCAUGCGUCUGAUUAGUUAGUUGGCGGGGUAAUGGCCCACCAAGACGAUGAUCAGUAGGGGUUCUGAGAGGAAGAUCCCCCACACUGGCACUGAGAUACGGGCCAGACUCCUACGGGAGGCAGCAGUAGGGAAUAUUGGUCAAUGGAUGCAAGUCUGAACCAGCCAUGCCGCGUGCAGGAAGAAGGCCUUUCUGGGGUUGUAAACUGCUUUUGCCAGGGGAUAAAUUUCCAUGCGUGGAAAACUGAAGGUACCUGGUGAAUAAGCCACGGCUAACUACGUGCCAGCAGCCGCGGUAAU
rnacentral:rRNA from 1 species